rnacentral:rRNA from 1 species
UACAGAGGUCUCAAGCGUUGUUCGGAUUCAUUGGGCGUAAAGGGUGCGUAGGCGGCGCGGUAAGUCGGGUGUGAAAUCUCGGGAGCUUAACUCCGAAACUGCAUUCGAUACUGCCGUGCUUGAGGACUGGAGAGGAGACUGGAAUUUACGGUGUAGCGGUGAAAUGCGCAGAUAUCGGGAGGAACACCAAUGGCGAAGGCAGCUCGCUGGGACGGUACUGACGCUGAGGCGCGAAAGCGUGGGGAGCAAACAGG